rnacentral:rRNA from 1 species
CUCCUUCCCAUUCCGAACAGGAAAGUUAAGCUCUACAGCGUCGAUGGUACUGCACGGGGGACUGUGUGGAAGAGUAGAACGUUGCCAGGU